rnacentral:rRNA from 1 species
CCUACGGGAGGCAGCAGUGAGGAAUAUUGGUCAAUGGCCGUAAGGCUGAACCAGCCAAGUCGCGUGAAGGAAGAAGGAUCUAUGGUUUGUAAACUUCUUUUAUAGGGGAAUAAAGGUAUCCACGUGUGGAUAUUUGCAUGUACCCUAUGAAUAAGCAUCGGCUAACUCCGUGCCAGCAGCCGCGGUAAUACGGAGGAUCCGAGCGUUAUCCGGAUUUAUUGGGUUUAAAGGGAGCGUAGGCGGGUUGUUAAGUCAGUUGUGAAAGUUUGCGGCUCAACCGUAAAAUUGCAGUUGAUACUGGCAUCCUUGAGUACAGUAGAGGUAGGCGGAAUUCGUGGUGUAGCGGUGAAAUGCUUAGAUAUCACGAAGAACUCCGAUUGCGAAGGCAGCCUGCUGGACUGUAACUGACGCUGAUGCUCGAAAGUGUGGGUAUCAAACAGGAUUAGAUACCCUGGUAGUC